rnacentral:rRNA from 1 species
CGCCUUGCGGAGCCUACACAUGCAAGUCGAGCGGAACGAGUUAACUGAACCUUCGGGGAACGAUAACGGCGUCGAGCGGCGGACGGGUGAGUAAUGCCUAGGAAAUUGCCCUGAUGUGGGGGAUAACCAUUGGAAACGAUGGCUAAUACCGCAUGAUGCCUACGGGCCAAAGAGGGGGACCUUCGGGCCUCUCGCGUCAGGAUAUGCCUAGGUGGGAUUAGCUAGUUGGUGAGGUAAGGGCUCACCAAGGCGACGAUCCCUAGCUGGUCUGAGAGGAUGAUCAGCCACACUGGAACUGAGACACGGUCCAGACUCCUACGGGAGGCAGCAGUGGGGAAUAUUGCACAAUGGGCGCAAGCCUGAUGCAGCCAUGCCGCGUGUGUGAAGAAGGCCUUCGGGUUGUAAAGCACUUUCAGUCGUGAGGAAGGCAGCGUAUUUAAUAGCGGCGUUGUUUGACGUUAGCGACAGAAGAAGCACCGGCUAACUCCGUGCCAGCAGCCGCGGUAAUACGGAGGGUGCGAGCGUUAAUCGGAAUUACUGGGCGUAAAGCGCAUGCAGGUGGUGUGUUAAGUCAGAUGUGAAAGCCCGGGGCUCAACCUCGGAAUAGCAUUUGAAACUGGCAGACUAGAGUACUGUAGAGGGGGGUAGAAUUUCAGGUGUAGCGGUGAAAUGCGUAGAGAUCUGAAGGAAUACCGGUGGCGAAGGCGGCCCCCUGGACAGAUACUGACACUCAGAUGCGAAAGCGUGGGGAGCAAACAGGAUUAGAUACCCUGGUAGUCCACGCCGUAAACGAUGUCUACUUGGAGGUUGUGGCCUUGAGCCGUGGCUUUCGGAGCUAACGCGUUAAGUAGACCGCCUGGGGAGUACGGUCGCAAGAUUAAAACUCAAAUGAAUUGACGGGGGCCCGCACAAGCGGUGGAGCAUGUGGUUUAAUUCGAUGCAACGCGAAGAACCUUACCUACUCUUGACAUCCAGAGAACUUUCCAGAGAUGGAUGGGUGC